rnacentral:rRNA from 1 species
AUUGAACGCUGGCGGCAGGCUUAACACAUGCAAGUCGAGCGGGGGAAGGUAGCUUGCUACCGGACCUAGCGGCGGACGGGUGAGUAAUGCUUAGGAAUCUGCCUAUUAGUGGGGGACAACAUCUCGAAAGGGAUGCUAAUACCGCAUACGUCCUACGGGAGAAAGCAGGGGAUCUUCGGACCUUGCGCUAAUAGAUGAGCCUAAGUCGGAGUAGCUAGUUGGUGGGGUAAAGGCCUACCAAGGCGACGGUCUGUAGCGGGUCUGAGAGGAUGAUCCGCCACACUGGGACUGAGACACGGCCCAGACUCCUACGGGAGGCAGCAGUGGGGAAUACUGGACAAUGGGGGGAACCCUGAUCCAGCCAUGCCGCGUGUGUGAAGAAGGCCUUAUGGUUGUAAAGCACUUUAAGCGAGGAGGAGGCUACUCUAGUUAAUACCUAGGGAUAGUGGACGUUACUCGCAGAAUAAGCACCGGCUAACUCUGUGCCAGCCGCCGCCGUAA